rnacentral:snRNA from 1 species
GUGUUAGCUUUCAUAGCACAUAUAUUAAAAAAUUGGAAUAAUACUGAGAAGAUUAGCAUGACCCCUGCCCAAGGAUGACACACAAAUUUGUGAAGCCUUCCAUAUUUUA